AAGGGAUGACCUUGAACUUCAGGUUCUUCUGACUCUGCUUCUCAAGUGCUGGGCUUACAGAGAGCCUUCUAUUCCAACACCACUUCCCAACAUCCUGGUCAGUGGCUAGUAGAAGCAAGAGCCCAGUGAGGUCGCCCAAGCCCAAGGGCAUGACACUGCUCUACCUGCAUCAACCCUGCCAUACCAGUGGGACCAGCGGGAUGCAUACAAGAAGCCUGAAUGGUGCCAGGUUGCAUUUGUUGAAUGAGUGGAUGAGGGAUGAUUCCAUACUCUGGAAAUAAACUAUGGAGAAAAUCAGUUAUAAGUCUCUAUCUGAUACCACCCCUUUUCUAGUCUGGAAAUCAGCAUUUUUUUCCCACAAAGGCAGAGUUUCACAUAGUCCAGGCUGGCCUGGAAUUUUCACAAUGUAACUGAGACUAACCUUGAACUUUUUGAUCCUCCUGUUUCUAAUCCCAAGUGCUGGGAUCACUGGUGUGCAAAGAGACACUUGAUUUACUUGGUGCUGGGAACCCAGGACUUCUUGCACACUGUAUCAGCAACCUGCUUUUCGCCUCCUGAGCAAGUAUAAUAAAACUUAUUUAAUUUCUAUCUACA